GGGGAAUAUUGCACAAUGGGGGAAACCCUGAUGCAGCGACGCCGCGUGAAGGAAGAAGGUCUUCGGAUUGUAAACUUCUUUGAUUGGGGACGAAAUAUGACGGUACCCAAGGAACAAGCCACGGCUAACUACGUGCCAGCAGCCGCGGUAAUACGUAGGUGGCAAGCGUUGUCCGGAAUUACUGGGUGUAAAGGGCGUGUAGGCGGGAGUGUAAGUCAGAUGUGAAAACCCGGAGCUCAACUUCGGGAUUGCAUCUGAAACUAUGCUUCUUGAGUGCUGGAGAGGAAAGCGGAAUUCCUAGUGUAGCGGUGAAAUGCGUAGAUAUUAGGAGGAACACCAGUGGCGAAGGCGGCUUUCUGGACAGUAACUGACGCUGAGGCGCGAAAGCGUGGGGAGCGAAC
rnacentral:rRNA from 1 species